UUGUAGCCAGUGAAGCUGAUGGUGCUAUUUUUGCUGGGGAGUCCUGCUGUGGCUGCAAACAGCAGCCUCCUGGGUAGUGUAUGAAGCCUGUUGGCUGCAUGGUUUGCCCUAAGGGACCUUUAAGUGAAAG